GUGUAUGGAUAGCUUGAUUGA
rnacentral:siRNA from 1 species